AACGAACGCUGGCGGCAUGCCUAACACAUGCAAGUCGAGCGAGACCUUCGGGUCUAGUGGCGCACGGGUGCGUAACGCGUGGGAACCUGCCCUUAGGUUCGGAAUAACUCCCCGAAAGGGGUGCUAAUACCGGAUAAUGUCUUCGAACCAAAGAUUUAUCGCCUUUGGAUGGGCCCGCGUUGGAUUAGCUAGUUGGUAGGGUAAAAGCCUACCAAGGCGACGAUCCAUAGCUGGUCUGAGAGGAUGAUCAGCCACACUGGGACUGAGACACGGCCCAGACUCCUACGGGAGGCAGCAGUGGGGAAUAUUGGACAAUGGGCGAAAGCCUGAUCCAGCAAUGCCGCGUGAGUGAUGAAGGCCUUAGGGUUGUAAAGCUCUUUUACCCGGGAUGAUAAUGACAGUACCGGGAGAAUAAGCUCCGGCUAACUCCGU
rnacentral:rRNA from 1 species